rnacentral:rRNA from 1 species
AUUGAACGCUGGCGGCAGGCCUAACACAUGCAAGUCGAGCGGAUGAAGGGAGCUUGCUCCUGGAUUCAGCGGCGGACGGGUGAGUAAUGCCUAGGAAUCUGCCUGGUAGUGGGGGAUAACGUCCGGAAACGGGCGCUAAUACCGCAUACGUCCUGAGAGAGAAAGUGGGGGAUCUUCGGACCUCACGCUAUCAGAUGAGCCUAGGUCGGAUUAGCUAGUUGGUGGGGUAAAGGCCUACCAAGGCGACGAUCCGUAACUGGUCUGAGAGGAUGAUCAGUCACACUGGAACUGAGACACGGUCCAGACUCCUACGGGAGGCGGCAGUGGGGAAUAUUGGACAAUGGGCGAAAGCCUGAUCCAGCCAUGCCGCGUGUGUGAAGAAGGUCUUCGGAUUGUAAAGCACUUUAAGUUGGGAGGAAGGGCAGUAAGUUAAUACCUUGCUGUUUUGACGUUACCAACAGAAUAAGCACCGGCUAACUUCGUG